rnacentral:rRNA from 1 species
GACGAACGCUGGCGGCGUGCUUAACACAUGCAAGUCGAACGAAGAGCGAUGGAAGCUUGCUUCUAUCAAUAUUAGUGGCGAACGGGUGAGUAACGCGUAAUCAACCUGCCCUUCAGAGGGGGACAACAGUUGGAAACGACUGCUAAUACCGCAUACGAUCUAAUCUCGACAUCGAGGAUAGAUGAAAGGUGGCCUCUACAUGUAAGCUAUCACUGAAGGAGGGGAUUGCGCCUGAUUAGCAGGUUGGAGGGGUAACGGCCCACCAAGGCGAUGAUCAGUAGCCGGUCUGAGAGGAUGAACGGCCACAUUGGGACUGUGACACGGCCCAGACGCCUACGGGAGGCAGCAGUGGGGAAUCUUCCGCAAUGGACGAAAGUCUGACGGAGCAACGCCGCGUGAGCGAUGACGGCCUUCGGGUUGUAAAGCUCUGUUAAUCGGGACGAAAGGCCUUCUUGCGAAUAGUGAGAAGGAUUGACGGUACCGGAAUAGAAAGCCACGGCUAACUACGUG